UCUGGGGUACCUGAAGUCGGUGACCGUAACAGGAGCUGCCUAGGGUAAAACAGGUAACUAGGGCUAAGUCGUAACAAGGUAGCCGUACCGGAAGGUGCGGCUGGAACAUCUCAUUUUAGAGC
rnacentral:rRNA from 1 species